rnacentral:rRNA from 1 species
GGGUGACGAGCGGCGGACGGGUGAGUAAUGUCUGGGAAACUGCCUGAUGGAGGGGGAUAACUACUGGAAACGGUAGCUAAUACCGCAUAACGUCGCAAGACCAAAGAGGGGGACCUUCGGGCCUCUUGCCAUCAGAUGUGCCCAGAUGGGAUUAGCUAGUAGGUGGGGUAAUGGCUCACCUAGGCGACGAUCCCUAGCUGGUCUGAGAGGAUGACCAGCCACACUGGAACUGAGACACGGUCCAGACUCCUACGGGAGGCAGCAGUGGGGAAUAUUGCACAAUGGGCGCAAGCCUGAUGCAGCCAUGCCGCGUGUGUGAAGAAGGCCUUCGGGUUGUAAAGCACUUUCAGCGAGGAGGAAGGUGGUGAACUUAAUACGUUCAUCAAUUGACGUUACUCGCAGAAGAAGCACCGGCUAACUCCGUGCCAGCAGCCGCGGUAAUACGGAGGGUGCAAGCGUUAAUCGGAAUUACUGGGCGUAAAGCGCACGCAGGCGGUUUGUUAAGUCAGAUGUGAAAUCCCCGGGCUCAACCUGGGAACUGCAUUUGAAACUGGCAAGCUAGAGUCUCGUAGAGGGGGGUAGAAUUCCAGGUGUAGCGGUGAAAUGCGUAGAGAUCUGGAGGAAUACCGGUGGCGAAGGCGGCCCCCUGGACGAAGACUGACGCUCAGGUGCGAAAGCGUGGGGAGCAAACAGGAUUAGAUACC